GAUGAACGCUGGCUACAGGCUUAACACAUGCAAGUCGAGGGGUAACGAGAGGAAAGCUUGCUUUCCUUGUCGACGACCGGCGCACGGGUGAGUAACGCGUAUCCAACCUGCCCCCAACUAGGGAAUAACCUUGCGAAAGUAAGACUAAUACCCUAUAAUUUCCUCAGAUGACAUCUGACGAGGAAUAAAGAUUUAUCGGUUGUGGAUGGGGAUGCGUCUGAUUAGCUUGUUGGCGGGGUAACGGCCCACCAAGGCAACGAUCAGUAGGGGUUCUGAGAGGAAGGUCCCCCACAUUGGAACGGGGACACGGUCCAAACUCCUACGGGAGGCAGCAGUGUGGAAUAUUGGUCAAUGGGCGGAAGCCUGAACCAGCCAAGUAGCAUGCAGGAUGACGGCCCUAUGGGUUGUAAACUGCUUUUAUACAGGAAUAAAGUUAGCCACGUGUGGUUAUUUGUAGGUACUGUAUGAAUAAGGACCGGCUAAUUCCGUGCCAGCAGCCGCCGUAA
rnacentral:rRNA from 1 species